GGCCGUGUGGCUCAAUGGCAGAGCGUCUGACUACGAUUUGGUAUAUCAGGAGGUUGCAGGUUCGACCCCUGUCUCGGUCA
rnacentral:tRNA from 1 species